UACGUAGGGUGCAAGCGUUGUCCGGAAUUAUUGGGCGUAAAGAGCUCGUAGGCGGUUUGUCGCGUCGACUGUGAAAACCCGCGGCUCAACCGCGGGCCUGCAGCCGAUACGGGCAGGCUGGAGUUCGGUAGGGGAGAGUGGAAUUCCUGGUGUAGCGGUGAAAUGCGCAGAUAUCAGGAGGAACACCGAUGGCGAAGGCAGGUCUCUGGGCCGAUACUGACGCUGAGGAGCGAAAGCGUGGGGAGCGAACAGG
rnacentral:rRNA from 1 species